AUGAACGCUAGCUACAGGCUUAACACAUGCAAGUCGCGGGGUAACAUCUGGGAGAGCUUGCUCUUCCAGGAUGACGACCGGCGCACGGGUGAGUAACGCGUAUCCAACCUGGCCCAUACCAUGGGAUAGCCCGUCGAAAGGCGGAUUAAUACCGUAUGCUGUCAUUAAGAUGCAUAUAUUGAUGGCGAAAGGACUGGCGGUAUGGGAUGGGGAUGCGUCUGAUUAGCUUGUUGGCGGGGUAACGGCCCACCAAGGCGACGAUCAGUAGGGGUUCUGAGAGGAAGGUCCCCCACAUUGGAACUGAGACACGGUCCAAACUCCUACGGGAGGCAGCAGUGAGGAAUAUUGGUCAAUGGGCGAGAGCCUGAACCAGCCAAGUAGCGUGCAGGAUGACGGCCCUAUGGGUUGUAAACUGCUUUUAUAAGGGAAUAAAGUGAGUCUCGUGAGACUUUUUGCAUGUACCUUAUGAAUAAGGACCGGCUAAUUCCGUG
rnacentral:rRNA from 1 species